CCGGCACGGUGAGUAACGCGUAUGCAACUUGCCUAUCAGAGGGGGAUAACCCGGCGAAAGUCGGACUAAUACCGCAUGAAGCAGGGGCCCCGCAUGGGGAUAUUUGCUAAAGAUUCAUCGCUGAUAGAUAGGCAUGCGUCCCAUUAGGCAGUUGGCGGGGUAACGGCCCACCAAACCGACGAUGGAUAGGGGUUCUGAGAGGAAGGUCCCCCACAUUGGUACUGAGACACGGACCAA
rnacentral:rRNA from 1 species